rnacentral:rRNA from 1 species
UACGGAGGGUGCAAGCGUUGUCCGGAUUAUUGGGUUUAAAGGGUGCGUAGGCGGCCCGUUAAGUCAGUGGUGAAAGCCUCCAGCUCAACUGGAGAACUGCCAUUGAUACUGACGGGCUUGAGUACAGACGAGGUUGGCGGAAUUGAUUGUGUAGCGGUGAAAUGCAUAGAUACAAUCAAGAACUCCGAUUGCGUAGGCAGCUAACUAGGCUGUAACUGACGCUGAGGCACGAAAAGCGUGGGGGAGCGAACAGG